AUUUCAAAACUUUAUGUUUUAAUAUAUUUGCUUCCUCAUCAGUUUGAAUGUUACUUUUUUUCUCUGAAUAUACACCUCAACACCUCUACGCAUCAGACAAAGAGAUAUGGCUGUCCUUUCUCCUUCCAUGCAGUGACUCUGUGGCUGGUAGCUUUAUCAUUCACAGAACCCACAACAUCCUCCCACAUUUUUCAAAUGCUCAUCCAGUUGUUUCGGCAUGGAAAAAAAAAAAGCCACAGCAGAAGUUAGCAGAAGCCUGCUUUUGUUUUAGCCGGGCAUGGUUCACUCCUAGAGUGCUCUCCCUUUCCUAACAUUUGAAAGGCUUGGAAGCAAAAUUUCAACAAACAGAACCAGAUGAGGUUAAAAGCUUUUUCAAAUUAUUUUUUAAAACAUUUCCAAAGUGGAGAUAAUCGCUUUGCAAAACAAAAGGAAUUUGCCCUUUAUCCAACAGCCUGCUGUAAAGAGGCUCUGAGCUCUUCUGAAGCCACUGUGACAUUAAUGUUUUCUAAUUAGCUGCUGCUUGGCAAGUUUUGGUUCUGGCAGCUACAAGGAGCAUGGAAUUCAGCUUACAGAAAAACAAGACUAAAGAUUCAGCCUAAGAGUUUGUGUCAUUUCAAACAGCCGGUGCUGUGAGACAGACCUGAAAGCAUCGUGUGGGUGUGCGAGCCGGUGACAGAAAGAGUGGGUAGCGACUGCCGCUAACAGCAUCAGUGCUGGCUGCCAUGUACGCACCACGUGGUCAUCUUUGCAGGAAGAGAUCUUCCACCCUGUGUUGGCUCUGCUCCCUGUAAUCCUUCCAAAGCUGCAGAGUGUAGAACCAGUAAGCGUUCAGCCCUCCUGGUCUUGGCAUCACAACUGGCCAUGGGUUUUUCUCCUGUUCAGUGCUCACUGUGGGGACAGGUAUUGUACUUCAGUACCAGAGGGGACAGGAGAGCACACCUGGCCACUCAGCACCUUCAGAAUAAAUGGCAAGUUCACACACUUCAUUCUGACCCUUUUUGUUCUGAAGUGCUAAUUUGCAUAUGCAGUGUCAGCAUCAUGUUUGCCAAAGGCUCCCAUGCUGCUCCAUGGAAAUGGAGCAACUCCUGACAUAUCCACUGGCAAGAAAUGUAGAUUGAGCCACUGACGGAUGACACUACUAUCAUCAGUUUACAAACAAUUUUCAAGAACUUUCCUUUCACACUUGAGCAUAUUAGCCACUGAAAAAAAAGUGCUUAAGACAACAACAGAGAACCAUCACUAUUUCAAAAGACGCCUUUAAAACUCAUCACCCCUGUUAACAGUGGAAGUGAUUAACACUAAUCCUGUUGAGAAUACUACACUCAAACCAAGAAGCCUGCAGAAACAACAGACAGGACUUCAACAGACCUCACUGGUUUAGGCAGACAAUGCCAUUCAUAAGAGAAAAUAUCUUCAAGGGAAGUUAAGUCCCAGCAGACAG
rnacentral:lncRNA from 1 species